GGCGAGGGGUGGGGGGGGGCGUUUACUCUGAAAGCUGAGCCUCGGUGCAACAUGUGAGACGACAGAUAUCGCGAGGCAAAUAAAAGACGUCAAUCCGUUCUCUCGAGGAGCGGCGCUUUCUUCUGAGGGGUCCGGCGCUCGCCCAGCAGGAGGGGGGGGGCAGGUGUGACCCGACACACACAAAGAAUAAAUAAUAAAGCUCCGAAGGCUUUUCAACAUUUCUGAAUUGAUUUUCUUUAAGAUGCAGGACAUUCUCAAACCGAGCGGAACAAUCUUUGUCUCUCAGAGAGAAUUAAAUCUCAGAAAAAAUCUCAGUAACACUUCAGACAACAACGUCUCACACACACACACACACACACACACACACAUCACAGUGGUUGAGGAUUAAUAGGUGAUUGAUUGUGGAAAUGAUUAAAAUGUUCACUAAUAUGGAGACUAAUUAGAGAAUAUUAAGUGAAUUUAUUAGGAGGAAAUAGAGCAGCACGUCCCGCUCAUGUGACCUCCUCCCUUUCAGACAUAAACAUAAACAUUAAGGCACCGCACACACAAAACAAAAUAAAAUGCUCCCUUUUCCACGUUAUUUGUUGCAGUUUUUUAUCCAACCGCAGUAAUGAUGUCGAUAAAUAAAUCAGACACUUUAGUGCUAAAUGUGGUCUUGAAAAUGAAAAAAACACAAUCCAUUCUGUUUGAGCGUUAAGGACGGCUCAUUUCACCAAACACUCGUUUCCUAGGCUCCUCUCUCCUCACCUCGCUUCCUGACGUCUCGGUGGAGGAUCUGAGGGGAAGAGAAGUUUUUCAUUUCAGACAAAGGAGACACACACAGACUGGAACGUUUGCUGAACUAAACCUGCAACACACACACACACACACACACUGUAUUCCAUUCAGUGUGUGUGUGUGUGUGUGUGCGGCCUCUCGGCUACGGACUGAACCCCCUUUGUUCGGCCGUGACCCUCUUAAGCGCAGGUUGAAGCCUGCAGCCAUUCCACUUUGGAUUUGGACCCUAUCGCGUGUCGCGCGGCUGAGUCGACCCGGGCCGCGGGCCUCUUCUCCCUCCUCCCCGGGCGCCUCCGUUCACGCCGCCGAGCGCCCGUGAACGGAGGCGCCGCGACUACAGUUCGCUGCCGAAUUACCAGCUGCCAGCGGAGGAACAAAACAAACCACCGCGUCGUGUGAUGAAACAUUAGCGCGGCGGCUAACACGUGAUGUUAGCAUUAAGUACAUGUACAUACAUAUAUAUAGAGAGAGAGAUUUAAUAAUCACUUUAAUUUUAACUUCAUUUCCACUAUUUUGUAUGCUUUAAUAGGCCUGUUGUUUACAUAUAUCCAAAUAUAUAUUUUUUAAUUUGCAUUGUAUGUUAUUGAUACAGUUUUUUUAAGCACAGUAAUUAGGUUUGAGAAUGACACUCAAAUAGAAAUCAGUUUUCCUAAAUAACGAAACGAAUCAUAUAAGUUUAGAAAAAGACACUUUUGACUCCACUCCAGAUGUCAUGAAUAUGCAGAUGAGGCACUCGGGUGUCAAGAUGACGCCACGAGGUGCAACGCCAUCCUCCGUUUUACUUCAUUUGCGCUGGAAAACGAGUGAACUCCCCUCACCUCGUCGACGGAUCUCUUUCUAAAGAGCUGGAGUAUCAAAGACCUGUUGAGAUGAGUUUAUUUUGGGAGUCGCCUUCAUUUUCGCUGUCAGCCUGUUGCUGCCGGAACAACAGCGUCUGACACGAACAAAGUGCGACGCGUCUCUGUCAGUUUCAAGUGGCUCUCUGUUGGUUUCAUCAGCUUAAUCAGGUCCAACUGUGACUGAGAUUGACAGGUCACGUGUGAAACGCGGAUGUGUGUCACAAAGCGGCGCUUUUUCAACCUUCCCUUAUUAAUCCUGCGAAGAAAAGAAUAUUCCCUGGUGCUUUUGUCAUUGCCUUGAUUUCCCUCAUUCAGCCCUCCGCACUCACACCAAGGAGCCACGAAGGAAACAAACACAAUCCUACUCAUCCACACUGCUGUGAAUGCAAAGCUUUAGCUUCAGCUAACUUUGGGAUUUGAGUCUAUUUGUGAACGUAUUAGUUGUGCUAAUUGUGUUAAUGGCUAAUUAAGUGUUAUUCUGUUGUGCUUCUGUCCCAUGAUGCUCCUAAAUGAAACCUUUCCUGACAGGAACAUUUAAUUCAAACGUGGACGCCGCGGUCAGAAGGAUGAUGGUAAUAACUGAUACGAGUAAAGCGGCGUGGAGUGAGAACACAUGUUCUAGUGAGCUUCUCGUGUUAAACCCUCAGGCUUC
ensembl:lncRNA